GAUGAACGCUAGCGGCAGGCUUAACACAUGCAAGUCGAGGGGCAGCACGUCUUCGGAUGGUGGCGACCGGCGCACGGGUGAGUAACGCGUAUGCAAUCUACCUUUUACAGGGGCAUAGCCCGGGGAAACCCGGAUUAAUAUCCUAUAGUACCAUUAUAUAGCAUUAUAUUAUGGUUAAAGUUUCGGCGGUAAAAGAUGAGCAUGCGUCCUAUUAGCUUGAUGGUAAGGUAACGGCUUACCAUGGCUAUGAUAGGUAGGGGUCCUGAGAGGGAGACCCCCCACACUGGUACUGAGACACGGACCAGACUCCUACGGGAGGCAGCAGUGAGGAAUAUUGGACAAUGGGCGCAAGCCUGAUCCAGCCAUGCCGCGUGCAGGAAGACGGCCCUAUGGGUUGUAAACCGCUUUUAUACGGGAAGAAACACCCCUUCGUGAAGGGACUUGACGGUACCGUAUGAAUAAGGAUCGGCUAACUCCGUGCCAGCAGCCGCGGUAAUACGGAGGAUCC
rnacentral:rRNA from 1 species